rnacentral:rRNA from 1 species
CGGGAGUAACGCGUGAGGAACCUGCCUCAAAGAGGGGGGAAACAGUUGGAAACGACUGCUAAUACCGCAUAAGCCCACGGCUCGGCAUCGAGCAGAGGGAAAAGGAGUGAUCCGCUUUGAGAUGGCCUCGCGUCCGAUUAGCUAGUUGGUGAGGUAACGGCCCACCAAGGCGACGAUCGGUAGCCGGACUGAGAGGUUGAACGGCCACAUUGGGACUGAGACACGGCCCAG